UACAGGAGGGGCAAGCGUUGUUCGGAAUUACUGGGCGUAAAGGGCGCGUAGGCGGCCUUCUAAGUCGAACGUGAAAUCCCCGGGCUCAACCCGGGAACUGCGUCCGAUACUGGAAGGCUUGAAUCCGGGAGAGGGAUGUGGAAUUCCAGGUGUAGCGGUGAAAUGCGUAGAUAUCUGGAGGAACACCGGUGGCGAAGGCGACAUCCUGGACCGGUAUUGACGCUGAGGCGGCGAAAGCCAGGGG
rnacentral:rRNA from 1 species